rnacentral:rRNA from 1 species
UGCCAGCAGCCGCGGUAAUACGGAGGGUGCAAGCGUUGUUCGGAAUUAUUGGGCGUAAAGCGUGCGUAGGCGGACUAUUAAGUCUGGUGUGAAAUCCCUCGGCUCAACCGAGGACGUGCAUUGGAUACUGGUAGUCUUGAGUCCUGGAGAGGAGAGCGGAAUUCCUAGUGUAGAGGUGAAAUGCGUAGAUAUCGGGAAGAACACCGAUGGCGAAGGCAGCCUUCUGGGCCAACACUGACGCUGAGGCGCGAAAGCGUGGGGAGCGAACAGGAUUAGAUA